UUUCCUGAUCAUCAUCAUCUUGUUCCAACAAUCCAUUAUCAACAAGUAAAUUGCAUACCCAUUGGCUAAUCGUCAGAAGUGUGGCUGGCCGAAGUAGAUCUCGAAUUCGAUCAGGACGGAAAAAUGCCAAUCCAAUUCCAGAAAGAAUUGGAACCAUUGUUGAUAAAAGUAAAUAGAUCUGUCCAACAUUUCUGUCCUGCGCAGCUCUUCUUCUUGCUGUUGUAACAUUCUCAUCAACUACUGGAACACUUUCCGACGGCAUUGGAG
rnacentral:sRNA from 1 species